GACGAACGCUGGCGGCGUGCCUAACACAUGCAAGUCGAACGGAAAGGCCCUGCUUUUGUGGGGUGCUCGAGUGGCGAACGGGUGAGUAACACGUGAGUAACCUGCCCUUGACUUUGGGAUAUCUUCAGGCAACUGGGGCUAAUACCGGCUAGGAGCUCCUGCUGCUUGGUGGGGGUUGGAACGUUUCGGCGGUUGGGGAUGGACUCGCGGCUUAUCAGCUUGUUGGGUGGGUGGUGGCUUAGCAAGGCUUUGACGGCUGGCCGGCCUGAGAGGGUGGCCGGCCACCUUGGGCCUGCGAUACGGCCCAGACUCGUACGGGAGGCAGAGGUGGGGAAUAUUGCACAAUGGGCGGAAGUCUGAUGCGACAACGCCGCGAGCGGGAAGACGGCCUUCGGGUUGUGAACCGCUUUCGGCUGUGACGAAGCGUUAGUGACGGUAAUGGGUGAAGAAGCACCGGCUAACUACGUG
rnacentral:rRNA from 1 species